rnacentral:rRNA from 1 species
UGCAGGAAUGCCGUAAAAGGUCCCUGAGCAGAGAGGUGCACGGGUGGUACGCGUGGAUUAUCUCCCCAAGUUUGGGAUAACGGGGGGAAACUGCCGCUAAUACCGGAUACGCUCCAAUUUCGGUUGGGGGAAAGGCGGCCUCUGCUUGCAAGCUGUCGCAAUGAGAUGAGUCCGCGUCCCAUUAGCUUGUUGGUGGGGUAAUGGCCCACCAAGGCAACGAUGGGUAGCUGGUCUGAGAGGAUGAUCAGCCACACUGGAACUGAAACACGGUCCAGACUCCUACGGGAGGCAGCAGUGGGGAAUAUUGCGCAAUGGGGGAAACCCUGACGCAGCGACGCCGUGUGAGGGAAGAAGGCUUUCGGGUCGUAAACCUCUGUCAGGAAGGAAGAACCUCUCAAGGCUGAACAAGCCUUGGGACUGACGGUACUUCCAGAGGAAGCACCGGCUAACUCCGUGCCAGCAGCCGCGGUUUUUACGGAGGGUGUAAGCGUUAAUCGGAAUCACUGGGCGUAAAGCGCGCGUAGGCCGUCUUUUAAGUCGGACGUGAAAGCCCUCGGCUCAACCGGGGAACUGCGUUUCGUUUACUGGGAGACUUUGAGUCCUGGAGAGGGUGGCGGAAUUCCGGGUGUAGGAGUGAAAUCCCGUAGAUAUCCGGAGGAACACCCGGUGGCGAAGGCUGGCCACCUGGACAGGUACUGACGCCUGAGGCGCGAAAGCGUGGGGGAGCAAACAGGAUUAGAUACCCUGGUAGUCCACGCUUGUAACGAUGGGAUGCUUAGGUGUCGGGGGAGCGAUCUUCGGUGCCGCAGUUAACGCAUUAGCAUCCCCGCCUGGGGGAGUACGGGUCG